GUCGGAAAGAAAUGAACAAAAAGUUUGAGAUAUAUGAUAAGCAGGUGAAAGCCGCUAAGAGGUCUGGAAGCAGGGCUCAACAAGAGAAGGUGAAAGACCGAGCAAAGUUUGCUGCUGCUAAGGAAGCCUCAAAGAACAAGUCCAAGGGUAAGGUUGAUGAGGAUGAUCCCCUGCCAGAGGCCCCCAGAAAGUGGAGAGAUUACAGUGUAGAAUUCCACUUCCCUGAACCCACCGAGCUCACCCCACCAUUAUUACAGUUAAUUGAAGUAAGCUUUAGCUAUCCAAAUAGGGAAGAUUUUAGACUUUCUGAUGUUGAUGUGGGUAUUGAUAUGGGAACACGGGUUGCUAUAGUUGGGCCAAAUGGAGCGGGGAAAUCUACUCUUCUGAACCUGCUAGCAGGUGAUUUGGUACCAACAGAAGGUGAAGUUCGUAGGAGUCAGAAGUUG
rnacentral:misc_RNA from 1 species